AAUGAACGCUGGCGGCAGGCCUAACACAUGCAAGUCGAACGGGUCCUUCGGGACUAGUGGCGGACGGGUGAGUAACGCGUGGGAACAUACCCAAAGGUACGGAAUAGCCUCGGGAAACUGAGAGUAAUACCGUAUGUGCCCUUCGGGGGAAAGAUUUAUCGCCUUUGGAUUGGCCCGCGUUGGAUUAGGUAGUUGGUGGGGUAAUGGCCUACCAAGCCGACGAUCCAUAGCUGGUUUGAGAGGAUGAUCAGCCACACUGGGACUGAGACACGGCCCAGACUCCUACGGGAGGCAGCAGGUGGGGAAUCUUAGACAAGUGGGGGAAACCCUGAUCUAGCCAUGCCGCGUGAUCGAUGAAGGCCUUAGGGUUGUAAAGAUCUUUCAGAUGGGAAGAUAAUGACGGUACCAUCAGAAGAAGCCCCGGCUAACUCCGUG
rnacentral:rRNA from 1 species